rnacentral:lncRNA from 1 species
AAAUAGUUGAAGGCUGGAGUGAAAUAGUCUGUAACAGCUUUUUGUUACAAAGCUACUAAGAACCCUCAAAAAAAACUGGAGUUGCACUUAAACCACAGAAGGCUUCUGACCUAAGAGAAGAUUCAGGAUGAGUUUUCUGUGUAGGAUUUAGAGAGUCCCAGAGUCGAGUUCAACAAGGCCCUCUUCUCCUCUCCUCACACCUGGACUAUUAAAAUAGCCUGCUGGUGAGUCGGCUUGCCACAAGUCUCUCUCCACUCCAUUCCAUCCACCAUUCAGUCACCCAGGAUUCUUCAUUUCCUUCAAGACUCAAUUCAAGUACCACCUUCUACAUGAAGACCAUAGCUACUAAGUCCCUCCUUCUUAAAUUUAUCUUCA